rnacentral:rRNA from 1 species
GGCGAACGGGUGAGUAACACGUGGGUGAUCUGCCCUGCACUUUGGGAUAAGCCUGGGAAACUGGGUCUAAUGCCAGAUAGGACCAUGCUUUGGAUGGUGUGGUGGAAAGUUUUUCGGUGUGGGAUGAGCUUGCGGCCUAUCAGCUUGUUGGUGGGGUAAUGGCCUACCAAGGCGUCGACGGGUAGCCGGCCUGAGAGGGUGUACGGCCACAUUGGGACUGAGAUACGGCCCAG